rnacentral:tRNA from 1 species
ACCUGGGUGGCUCAGUCGGUUAAGUGUCUGACUUCAGCUCAGGUCAUGAUCUUGUAGUUUGUGGGUUCAAACCCCGCAUCAGGCU